GAUGAACGCUGGCGGCGUGCCUAAUACAUGCAAGUCGAGCGAACGGACGAGAAGCUUGCUUCUCUGAUGUUAGCGGCGGACGGGUGAGUAACACGUGGAUAACCUACCUAUAAGACUGGGAUAACUUCGGGAAACCGGAGCUAAUACCGGAUAAUAUUUUGAACCGCAUGGUUCAAAAGUGAAAGACGGUCUUGCUGUCACUUAUAGAUGGAUCCGCGCUGCAUUAGCUAGUUGGUAAGGUAACGGCUUACCAAGGCAACGAUGCAUGGCCGACCUGAGAGGGUGAUCGGCCACACUGGAACUGAGACACGGUCCAGACUCCUACGGGAGGCAGCAGUAGGGAAUCUUCCGCAAAGGGCGAAAGCCUGACGGAGCAACGCCGCGUGAGUGAUGAAGGUCUUCGGAUCGUAAAACUCUGUUAUUAGGGAAGAACAUAUGUGUAAGUAACUGUGCACAUCUUGACGGUACCUAAUCAGAAAGCCACGGCUAACUACGUG
rnacentral:rRNA from 1 species